GACGAACGCUGGCGGCGUGCCUAAUACAUGCAAGUCGAACGCUGAAGCGAGGAGCUUUCUCUUCUUCGAUGAGUUGCGAACGGGUGAGUAACGCGUAGGUCACCUUCCUCUUUGCGGUGGAUAACUAUUGGAAACGAUAGCUAAUACCGCAUAAAAUUGAUUAUUGCAUGAUAAUUAAUUUAAAGAUGCAUCUGCAUCACUACCAGAUGGACCUGAGUUUUAUUAGCUAGUUGGUUAGGUAACGGCUCACCAAGGCGGCGAUACAUAGCCGACCUGAGUGGGAGAUCGGGCAAAAUGGGAAUGGGAAAAGGCCCAGAAUUCCUCGGGGAGGAGCAGUAGGGAAUCAUCGGAAAUGGGGGGAAAGCUUACCGAAGAAAGACGGGGGAGUGGAGAAGGGUUUCGGAUCGUAAAGCUCUGUUGUAAGAGAAGAAAGAGUGGGAGAGUGAAAAGUUCACACUGUGACGGUAUCUUAACAAAAAGGAACGGCUAACUACGUG
rnacentral:rRNA from 1 species